UUUCCGUAGGUGAACCUGCGGAAGGAUCAUUACAUAUCAUCCAGUGUGGUCGCGGCCUCCGGGUUCUUCCCGGGCGGUAGGAGGUAACACUCUUCACGCGCCACGCGUUUGAAUCCUUUUUUUACGAGCACCAUUCGUUCUCCUUCGGUGGGGCAACCUGCCGUUGGAACCAUACAAAACCUUUUUUGCAUCUAGCAUUACCUGUUCCGAUAACAAACAAUCGUUACAACUUUCAACAAUGGAUCUCUUGGCUCUGGCAUCGAUGAAGAACGCAGC
rnacentral:misc_RNA from 1 species